CCGUCGAAGGACGCCAUUGCUGUUAUUUGCUAAAUUAACUCGCUCUGUGGCAGGGAAUCCUCUCUCAGGCUCUAGAGAUGAAUGAUACCUGUUUGUCCACACUACAGAAGAUCUUCGACCGUCUGGCUUCGAACCCGCAACCCUUUAGUCCACUUCACUGAUCCAUGAUUUGCAAGUGUAAAAAUUAAGUGAGAUGCUGCGAAUACAAAUGCUAUCAGCCGCAGAAUCGGCAGAUACUUGCUGGAGCUGUAGAUUGGGAUCAUCGGUCUCACAGUAUCAAAUAAAGGACACUGAAUGGUCGAAACGAAGACAAAAAAGCUCAUAAUAUGUAAACACAAUAUAUAUGUAUGUUUUAAUGAAACAUAUUUAUGUUAUAAAUAAUAUGUAUG